rnacentral:lncRNA from 1 species
UAGAAAAAAGACCAUGAGAGCUCCAAGGAAUUAAUGUGAAGGGCAGAACUUCAAGGAUUUUUCAAAGCAGGAUUAAUUUCAGCAUGCAACAAAGGACUCAUAAGUAAAGGAGGUUACAUGACUCAGAAAAUGUCACAUUGCUGCUUAGUAGCAAAGACAGAAGUAAAAUCCAGCUCUUCAAAACUUCAAGCUCCUUGUCAAAAUAAUCAUUUAUCCCCCACUAAGAGGAAAAGAAUAAGAAUAGAAAAAAAGGAAGAAUAAAAUAAACAAACAAAAAAAUCAAGCAUUAAAAAUCUAGGCAGUAACAAAAGCCUUGACUGAAGACACGACUUCAUUCAGCACUUUUGAUUUACAACACAAAAUUUGUCCCAUAUCUGUAAAUAAAGACAUGUAUU